rnacentral:rRNA from 1 species
GACGAACGCUGGCGGCGUGCUUAACACAUGCAAGUCGAACGGAAAGGCCCUGCUUUUGUGGGGUGCUCGAGUGGCGAACGGGUGAGUAACACGUGAGUAACCUGCCCUUGACUUUGGGAUAACUUCAGGAAACUGGGGCUAAUACCGGAUAGGAGCUCCUGCUGCAUGGUGGGGGUUGGAAAGUUUCGGCGGUUGGGGAUGGACUCGCGGCUUAUCAGCUUGUUGGUGGGGUAGUGGCUUACCAAGGCUUUGACGGGUAGCCGGCCUGAGAGGGUGACCGGCCACAUUGGGACUGAGAUACGGCGCAGACUCCUACGGGAGGCAGCAGUGGGGAAUAUUGCACAGUGGGCGGAAGCCUGAUGCGGCAACGCCGCGUGCGGGAUGACGGCCUUCGGGUUGUAAACCGCUUUCGCCUGUGACGAAGCGUGAGUGACGGUAAUGGGUAAAGAAGCACCGGCUAACUACGUG